rnacentral:rRNA from 1 species
AGUGAACGCUGGCGGUAGGCCUAACACAUGCAAGUCGAACGGCAGCACAGUAAGAGCUUGCUCUUACGGGUGGCGAGUGGCGGACGGGUGAGGAAUACAUCGGAAUCUACUUUUUCGUGGGGGAUAACGUAGGGAAAGUUACGCUAAUACCGCAUACGAUCUACGGGUGAAAGCAGGGGAUCUUCGGACCUUGCGCGAUUGAAUGAGCCGAUGUCGGAUUAGCUAGUUGGAGGGGUAAAGGCCCACCAAGGCGACGAUCCGUAGCUGGUCUGAGAGGAUGAUCGGCCACACUGGAACUGAGACACGGUCCAGACUCCUACGGGAGGCAGCAGUGGGGAAUAUUGGACAAUGGGCGCAAGCCUGAUCCAGCCAUACCGCGUGAGUGAAGAAGGCCUUCGGGUUGUAAAGCCCUUUUGUUAGGAAAGAAAAGCAGCAGGUUAAUACCCCGCUGUUCUGACGGUACCCAAAGAAUAAGCACCGGCUAACUUCGUG